GUGUCCGUGCUUUCCUUUUUCCUUGGAUAUAGGUUUAGGGUUUUAAUCCACCCUAACAUCUCGUCGAUCGGGUCUGCUCCGUCAUCUACAACAUCUCCUCUCUCCGGUGCGCGGCGACAACCUCAUUUCAUGAUCUGCGGCUCGAGAAAAGCUUUGUGAUUUCUCUCUCUCUUUCUCCUGUGCAAUUGGGAAGCGAAGAGGUUUUUUGUGGACUUUUGGAGGUGGAUUUGGGAGAAGCUAGGGUUUCUUUGGGAGUCUUAGAGAUUAGGGUGGACAAUAAAUUUCAACUUCUUUGGUGGUUGGUAGUUUUUGGCUUCACCGACUUCAUAGGAUUCCCAAAUUGAAUUUUUCACUCUUGUUAACGACUUGAAACAUGGUUAGAGAUCGGUCUUGGAUGUAUUGCGGUAGGGAUCGGGCAUCAUUCAUCAAUGAUGAAUUUAUAAAGGGAGUAGAGGAAUUUAUUGCCUUUGCAUAUUCUCAAAAUGGUAUUGUCAGUGGGGAUUCUAUAAGAUGUCCUUGUCGUCGGUGUGAAAAUAGCAUGUUUCAGAUUGUUGAUAUAGUUCGUAGACACCUUUACUAUAAUGGAUUUAUGCUUGGUUAUACAACUUGGACUUCUCAUGGAGAAUAUGAAAUUGGGCAAUCUUCUAGAUAUGGAGAUGAACAUGA